rnacentral:rRNA from 1 species
AGUGGCGGACGGGUGAGGAAUACAUGGGAAUCUGCCCACCUCGUGGGGGAUAACGUAUGGAAACGUACGCUAAUACCGCAUGCGCCCCUACGGGGGACAAAAACCUUCGGGCCUGGCGCGAUUGGAUGAGCCCAUGUUCGAUUAGCUAGUUGGCGGGGUAAAGGCCCACCAAGGCGACGAUCGAUAGCUGGUCUGAGAGGAUGAUCAGCCACACUGGGACUGAUACUCGGGCCCAGACUCCUACGGGGAGGGCAGCAGUUAGGGAAUAUUGGGACAAUGGGCGCCAAGCCCUGAUCCANACCAUGCCGCGUGAGUGAAAGAAGGCCCUCGCGGUUGUAAAGCUCUUUUGGUCCGGGGAAAGAAAAGCAUUUCGGUUAAAUACCCGGGGUGGUCCUGGACCGGUUACCGGAAAAAAUAAGCACCNGGCUUACUUUCGU